rnacentral:rRNA from 1 species
UACGGAGGAGGCAAGCGUUAUCCGGAAUUAUUGGGCGUAAAGCGUCCGCAGGUGGCGAUUCAAGUCUGCGGUCAAAGACUGGGGCUUAACCCUGGAAAGGCCGUGGAAACUGAAUAGCUAGAGUGCAGUAGGGGUAGAGGGAAUUCCCGGUGUAGCGGUGAAAUGCGUAGAGCUCGGGAAGAACAUCGGUGGCGAAAGCGCUCUACUGGGCCAUAACUGACACUCAGGGACGAAAGCUAGGGGAGCGAAUGGG